CCUACGGGCGGCUGCAGUGGGGAAUAUUGCACAAUGGGGGAAACCCUGAUGCAGCGACGCCGCGUGAGUGAAGAAGUAUUUCGGUAUGUAAAGCUCUAUCAGCAGGGAAGAUAAUGGCGGUACCUGACUAAUAAGCCCCGGCUAACUACGUGCCAGCAGCCGCGGUAAUACGUAGGGGGCAAGCGUUAUCCGGAUUUACUGGGUGUAAAGGGAGCGUAGACGGCAGCACAAGUCUGGAGUGAAAUGCCGGGGCUUAACCCCGGAACUGCUUUGGAAACUGUGCAGCUAGAGUGCAGGAGAGGUAAGUGGAAUUCCUAGUGUAGCGGUGAAAUGCGUAGAUAUUAGGAGGAACACCAGUGGCGAAGGCGGCUUACUGGACUGUAACUGACGUUGAGGCUCGAAAGCGUGGGGAGCAAACAGGAUUAGAUACCCCUGUAGUC
rnacentral:rRNA from 1 species